GUCAACAUGUUUUGUGCUGCUCUGUUCCUGCUCCUUGCAGCUGCUGGUGUGAAGUGUGAACAGUUGACACAACCAGCUUCUGUGACUGUGCAGCCAGGUCAGACUCUGACCAUCAGCUGUCAGGUCUCUUAUUCCAUUAGCAGCUACUACACAGCUUGGAUCAGACAGCCUGCAGGAAAAGGACUGGAGUGGAUUGGAAGCGCAGCUAGAGGAUCUACAACAUACUACAAAGAUUCUCUCAGAAACAAAUUUAGCCUUUCUACAGAUUCUUCCAGCAACACACUGACUCUGAAUGGACAGAAUAUGCAGCCUGAAGACGCUGCUACAUAUUACUGUGCAAGAGACCCACAGUGACAAAACCAAACAACAUAGCUGUACAAAAACUCAU